rnacentral:misc_RNA from 1 species
UCAAACUUGGUCAUUUAGAGGAAGUAAAAGUCGUAACAAGGUUUCCGUAGGUGAACCUGCGGAAGGAUCAUUACCGAGUGCGGGCCCCUCGCGGCCCAACCUCCCACCCGUGUCUCUCUCUCCCUGUUGCUUUGGCGGGCCCACCGGGGCCAACCCGGUCGCCGGGGGACGGUCGUCCCCGGGCCCGCGCCCGCCGAAGCGCACUGCGAACCCUGAUGAAGAUGGGCUGUCUGAGUACGAUGAAAAUUGUCAAAACUUUCAACAAUGGAUCUCUUGGUUCCGGCAUCGAUGAAGAACGCAGC